GCGCGGACUCGGGCCGGGCGGGGGAGCCCCGGCUACGCAGCGGAGUCGGCUGGGCUUCGACGGUCAAGAGAAAUCCGCCGUGUGACAUCGUGACGUCUGACAAAUACGCGACUGUCCGCGCAGCUUCACAGUGCAACGUUUUCCCCUUCCAUCCAGCUUCUCUACGCCUGGCAUUUCUGGUUGCAGGAUUCCUGGAGGGUCAAGACAACCGUGUUCACACACUUAAUGAUGCUGUGUUGAGAGCACGGAAUUAGCACUCGGAGAGAUUCAAUGAGAAAAGCAGACAAGGAAACAAUAUGAUGAAUGCCCUGUCUUCCCGUCACUUUGUUCCCCUAACUUUCACCUAAUUACUACCAACUUUGCUCUCUCCUCGUUUUUACGUGAUUUUUACACAUUUUGACUUUGGCUUUUAAGUUGAGGCUUAUUUUGUUGCUGAAUGACAUUUCCAACAGCAAGGGGGAGAGAAUUUUUACCUGGAAAAUUUGAUUCAAAUGAUCUUAACCAGACUUCCCUAGCUUAUAUAACUUUAACUCCACCCAGUUUCUUUUAACACAAAUUAAGGACUUAGUCGACCACUGGUUUCUAACUUGUCCGAAAACUGUAUACUAAAUGUUUCAAUGACAGGUGUCAACUUUAAAUGUUUCUCCCUCAGAAACUACAAUCUCACCAGGUGUCAAAUGAGUAGAUAGUCACAGCUGCUGUGAGUAGAGCUGAAACACGAAACCUCUUGAUAUCUCUUCGUCAAUAGAAGGGAACAUGCAAACUUAGCUGGUUCUUAUGUUUGGGGUGAGUCGUAUAUAAUAAUCUUUGAGAUCUCGCUCUGACCGAGCCCUCUGAUGAAGUCCUGAUAUUUGUAGAGCCCCAAAUAGUUGGGGAAUAGAUCAGCAAUCAGAGAAAGGAAUAAGUAUGUUCAGUCAGCUGGGUCCCUGCCACCCCCAGAGCAGGUGCAUGUCUUUUCCUCCAGGCAUUCUGAAGUCAGGGAUACCCCCAAUCCCUUUACUUAACUCUAAUGCCUAAGUUUCACAAUGAUCUCAACAUUUCCCUAAGGAAACAGGUCCUUUAAAAUUAAAGUUUUUGUGUGUUCCCAUUUAGAGAUGUGGGGGGAAACAGACUGAGCAAAUAAUUAAAAUAGCAAAUAAACCUUCA
rnacentral:lncRNA from 1 species